UGAUCAUUUCACUUUUCGAUCGUCGCCAUUUUGUAAGCGCCCUGCCUAAGAGUGUCUAAUGGACUUCAGCUGGAUUAAAUGUGUAUUACCCGGGAGGAACUGUAAAGAACCAGCCAGACAGCCCGCCCGCCGAGCUUUCCACACGGCCGAGCUGUACUUUGUGUAUGCCAACAUGCCGACAUGCUGUAAUUUGUUAGUACUUCAAGAUCAUAUAAUGGAAACUUGUUUCCAAACUGAAGUAUAAACCAGCCUGGUUGCUGUAGCCACAGGGGAAUUUUCAAGGACAAGAAUUAGUGCUGGUAAAAAUGCGGUCUCAUGUGGUUUUCCUUACCGGCAUUCAGCAAGGAUUUCAGAGAAAGGAAUACUGUCUCCAAAUCAUGAUGUGCCAAUAAGCUCCAGUUAGCUGCGCCUUUUUCCUCCCACCGGUAGUCCUGCAAUCUGAAUCCAGGAGAUGCAGCUCUGAAUCCAAUAUUUCAGAAGAAUGAAUAUAUAAGUCAUCUCUGUAGUACUUGUUUGUGUGUAAAUGAUCAAAAGAGUGAGAUUUAUAGCAAAUCAGGUGUAAAUAAGCAACUUAUAGACAUUGGUGAAGUGCUGUACUCUGAUUUUAAUGCCAAAUCUAGCCUUCAAAACAGAAACUUAAAGUAAAAACAAUAUCAAAAAUGGGCAUAUUAAUGCUAUCUCUGCAUUUUCUACAUUAUGUAGCCACCUCAUACAUGAAAACACUAGCAGUUGUCAUGAAUCUUUCAGUUUUGGUGUUUUUUUACCAUUUCUUUUGUUGCGCCAUUUGUCCCUGAAGCAAACAGUUUGGCAUAUAGUGUUGUUUAGACUGUCUAUAAACACAUUAUCACUAAAUUUCUUUUGUUAAACUGAACAGUUCUGUUACCUUUGUAUAUAAGUGGAUAAGAAAAGCAAAAGUUUGACAAGUUGAAGCAUUUCAGUUUCAUUUUUGUUAUGCGAUGGUAAUUUGUACGUAGUAUGUGCGUCAGUGCGUCUGUAAACAAUUCAUGUUUACACGAUACAACCUUCAGUUUUGAUUGUAUCUUAAUGAAACCUGUACAGUAUUUACAUAUCCAUUAGAGCUCGGUUUCUUUUGAAAACCAGCCAGAGACGACCAUGCUUGCCUAGAUUAUGGGCCUUGAUAGUAUAAAAAUCCUGUAAACAAUUGCUCGUUAACACGAUACAGCCUUCAGUUUUGAUUGUAUCUCGAUGAAACUUGUACAGUAUCUACAUAUCCAUAAGAGCUUGGUUCCUUUCGAAAACCAGCCAGAUCCACUCAGCCAGUAGAGCAUACGCCCUUUUGGGCCUCUUGUUUAUAUAAAACUCUAAGCGCAAAAGAAGUGCAAAAACCUUAUUUUGCUUAGAAAAAAAACUUAUAAGAGUAGGCAGGUCAUUUUUGUGGUGCUGUUCUGUAGACACCAUUGAAAGCUACAAGGAAAACUUGGUCAAAUUACUCCAAUGCAUAAAGAAAUAAUGGCUCUUCAAAUGUUUGCAGCUUACCAUUUGAGGGAAAUGGCUGUUUCUGCUUUUUAUGAAAAUACCACAGGUGCUAAUAUUUGUCUCAAUCAUUUAUUCUUUAAUAUAUCAUUUCCAAACUUUCAGUAUGUGUUGCAUAUAGCCUGCAGAUGAACUAUAUGAGUUUUGAAGCCUGUUCCCCCCUCUAUCAUGCAAUGAAUAUUAGUAACUAUGUAUGUGGUACAUGGUCUUUCAGAAAACUGAAGCGUUCAGGAAGUCAAUGCCACCAUGGUAUUGAUUUACUCAGCUCUGAUGUGCUGUGAUGUAACAUGCCUUCAAGCCACUAUCCGAAGAACAUUCAGACGUUCUAAAUGGACCAUUGCCCUGUUGCCAUGGAAAUCAUUAUGAGGAGGAGCACACAAACUGUCACUUGUUUUGAAUAUGAAAUGUACCACGAACUGACCAUAAACUUUUCAGAUGCUCUGUUUAUUUCAUCAGCCAAUUUCGGUGUAAAUUUUACUGAAUAAUGACAAACAGUCUUACUCAUAAGCAUCUCUUACUCAUUCGUAUUCCACAACUAAACAUGCUUGCAAUUACACUGUGACAUCUAUCAUAAUAUAGCAAUGCUGCAAUGACCACAUUUUUUUGUACCAAAUGUUGCUUUAUACUGAAACUUUUAUUGAAAAUGGUGCAUAAACACUGUAUCCGUAACUAUCAUAUGUUUCAGAAUAAUCAGAUUUAGGAUCCAUUUGACCAACGGAGCACGUACUUUUCGUUAUCAUGAUUAGGCAUCUCAAAAUCUCAAUGAAAAAAUAGAUGGGAAAGAAAACGCUUUUUGUGCUCUAACUCAUCAUUGUAUGUGUACAAUGUACUAGUUUAGAAUGUCAUGUUCGAUAACAAAGGACAGUAGUUCAUGUGGGUGUCAGCUGUGACGUAACAGCCACAGAACUCUCUAAGUGUUCACUUAAACUGUUGGAAGUCUUUAAGUUAUUAAACAACAACCG